rnacentral:lncRNA from 1 species
AGUGCUGCUAUGAACAUUGGGGUGCAUGCAUUUUUUUUUUUUGUCUUUUUGCCAUUUCUUGGGCCAUUCCCGUGGCAUAUGGAGGUUCCCAGGCUAGGGGUCUAAGCAGAGCUGUAGCUGCCAGCCACAGCCACAGCCACAGCCACGCAGGAUCCGCGCUGCAUCUGCGACCCACACCACAGCUCACGGCAACACCGGAUCCUUAAGCCACUGAGCAAGGCCAGGGGUCGAACCCGCAACCUCAUGGUUCCUAGUCAGAUUCGUUAAUCACUGAGCCACAAUGGGAACUCAUGCCUAUAUCUUUUUGAAUUAUAGUUUUCUCUAGACAUUUGCCCAGGAGUGGGGCUGCUGGAUCCAUAUGGUAGUUUUAGUUUUUUGAGAAAACUCCAUAUGGAUCCAUAUGGAGUUUAAAAGAAAACCGACAAGGGAAUGCUUGCCUUUGCAAGUGUCAAAUGCGUUAGAAGGUUCUAAAGUUUCAGCACUGUAGCCCUGGCACAGAAAUGAAAGAAAAAUUUCAUAGAAUCACAACAGCGAGCUCAAGAAAGGGAGAUAUGAGGGGAGGACCUUUUGGCAAAAGUAAUGUUGGAAGAAUGAGCUUAUUCUCUGGGGGAGAGAAUCAGGGGUGUAUCUCAUGCCUUUUACCCCACAGCAAAUUUCAGGCGGAGGAAAGCUCUAAAGGAAACAUCUGAAAGUGUGAAAUAUUAAAAGGCUGGAGAGUAAACACACUCUGAGUGGGGGAGCAUUUCCCAGGUUCCCCAGAGAUGAGGGGCUUUCUCAAGAUUAUCUCGACCUUUCCACCAGAAGAAAUUAAUGUUUAACCAGCAUCUGAGGCUCAAAAGGCCAGGAGGCGUGGAUCGGAAAGGCCGGGAGAGUGAGUGAUUUCAGCACGAACUCCCCAGCGUCCCCACCGCCUUCCAGCCCCCAGAGCCAGCGCGUCUCUGCACAGAGCGGACAACGACAGGGCCGGAGUCCCCAGCAGGGCGUGUCAACCCCAAAGCUGUUGGGGGUGCCCGGCACCCGUGUUUGCGUCCAGUGCGUUGAGAGGAGCCAGGUCAGGGUCAGAGCCCCGGGUCCUGCCUCUCUGUGUCUCAGCCUUGUUGUGUGUUCAGGAGGAAGAUGCCAGCCCUGGUGAGGUUGCGGAGAUGAACGGAGGACGCGGGCAACGACGAGGCGCUUGUAAGAAUGUGACCGCCCAGGGCUCUUGGGCUUUAGAAUCAAGAGAAAUUGAUCAGAGGCCGGGCAGGAAAAGGCAGGCGAGGCUUUCCUGGAGCCCCUGUGGUAGCAACCAGAGUGAAAACAAACAAUAGACUCCCUGGGGGGACUGGGGGCAGGGGCAGGGGUGAGCUGGUUCCUUAUAUGGGGCCAGCCUAGAGGUGCGUGCAGGGGUCAGAGCAGAGGGUGGCUUAGGUGGCUGCCCACCCCUUUGGGGUGUGUGUGGGGGGCAGCAUUUGUAGAACCUUGCUUUUGCUCUCUGCUCUUCCCCAGUAGCCACUGGGUUUUCAGUUUUUUUGUAUCUUCUUGCCCAUAAUUUGUCCCAAGUGCCCCUUGUCUGUAGUUAUUUUUUUAUUAUUUUUUUUGGAUUUCAUAUGACCUUUUAUGAUACUUGUAUUUCUUUUUUUUUUAAUAAUUUUUUUUUAUUUUCCCACUGUACAGCAAGGGGAUCAGGUUAUCCUUACAUGUAUACAUUACAUUUACAUUUUUUCCCC